rnacentral:rRNA from 1 species
UACAGAGGGUGCGAGCGUUAAUCGGAAUUACUGGGCGUAAAGCGUGCGCAGACGGUCAUGUAAGUCGGGUGUGAAAGCCCCGGGCUCAACCUGGGAAUUGCAUUCGAGACUGCAUGGCUAGGGUGCGGAAGAGGGAAGCGGAAUUUCCGGUGUAGCGGUGAAAUGCGUAGAUAUUCGGAAGAACACCAGUGGCGAAGGCGACUCACUGGACACGUAUUGACGCUGAGGUGCGAAAGCGUGGGGAGCAAACAGGG